UUAGUAAUGGCUCUUAACUAGCUUGGAUAGGAAAAGGGUUUGCCCCCCUUUCUUCUCCUUGUAUAUCGUUUUAGCUUUGUAGGUGAAGGAACAUGUUUGUGGACAGUGGCGGAGCCAACCCCUGAGGAGGGAACGAGGCCGAGCAUACUAACUCCGUCGAAACCUAUAGUUGGACUCGUCAUCAGGAGCCAGCCACCAUGGACAAAGCUUCAACUAGAAAGUUGAAAUGUACGUACAGACGAGGAUGGAAUGAUUUGGAAGAUGAACAAAAGUGGAUUUGGACCAAAUUUUUAAAGUUGCAAGCCGUUUCUUUUGGGCCUCUUGUAAAAAUAUAGGCCCAAUUGCUCAAUCCAAUGGAUUGAAGAUGCAGAGACUGCUUGCUAGUUUUAUUCACUUCUAGCUCACACGCGCACACACUUCAAGGACAAAAUGAGCUACCAUCAAUGUUGAGCUACUGCCGCACUGCACCACAUCGCCACCAGUGCAUUGCCUCCGAUGACUAACUCCACUUGUGAGUCGUGACAGCAUAACGCGAACAGUGAGCCUUCUGCCUCUCUUCAUUUUUCUUUUUCUUUUUUCACUUUUGUUCUUUUUUUUUUAUUGUAUUAUUUAUGAAAUGAGUUAUCAGUUAAAUUAAUCAGUUGUGAUUUAUAAGUUUUAUUAUUUACUGUGACAAUGUAUGAUUUUUGUGACUUGAGAGUUGAGAGUCUGCAGUUAGUGUUAGUAUUUAUGAAAAUUGAGGAUUUUGUGAAUUUGAGAAUAUGUGAUGCCAUAUAUGUGGACUGUGGAAUGUGAUUUGUGAUAUAUGAAAUUAGAAUGGAAACUUGAUGAUAGUUUAGUGAUUUAAUCUGUGAUUUACGUUUAAUCUUUGAUAAGUGUGUUUUCGCACACUUAUUUAAUAUCUAAAUAUGCUCAUAAUUAAUUAAAUGAAUGAAAUUCUACUCACAAUUAGGUGACAUUUGCUUUUGUAGGUAGAAAUCACUCAAAGAAAGAUAACAAGGCAAAAGAGAGUGAAAAGGGACCAAAAGCGUACAAAAUUUUUGAAGUUGUGGACAAAAGGAGCAAGUCAAAAAGUUCAAGGACCUAGACCUACGAUUUAUGGAGCGAAAAUUGAUACAAAAGUUAAAAUUUGAGGAGUGAAAUUAUGUAGGGACUAAGCUGCAAAUGACACCAAAAUCAACUUUCCUUGGCUUUGGACGGAGCCUAGGCGCCACUUUAGCUUCAAAAACAGCAUGGGGACCAUUUUGGUGACUUUUCAAAACUCCAACGACUUUGGCUACAAUUUUCCCGGUUUUAUAAUUUAAACCAGUAGCUGGCGGCUGCACUCUGUUUUCUUUCUUGCUAUGUUCCGUCCACUUUCUCUUUUUUUUUUUUUUUUUUUUUUUUUUU
rnacentral:lncRNA from 1 species